UACGUAGGUGGCGAGCGUUGUCCGGAUUUACUGGGCGUAAAGAGCCCGCAGGCGGUCCGUUAAGUUUCAGGUGAAAUCUCCCGGCUCAACCGGGAGGGUGCCUGGAAAACUGGCGGACUUGAGGCAGGGAGAGGGAUGUGGAAUUCCCGGUGUAGUAGUGAAAUGCGUAGAUAUCUGGAGGAACACCGGUGGCGAAGGCGGCAUCCUGGACCGACACUGACGCUGAGGCGCGAAAGCUAGGGGAGCAAACGGG
rnacentral:rRNA from 1 species